rnacentral:rRNA from 1 species
AAAAAAGGUAAGCUACUAAGAGCGAAUGGUGGAUGCCUUGACUGGUAAAGGCGAUGAAGGACGUACUAGACUGCGAUAAGCUACGGGGAGCUGUCAAGAAGCUUUGAUCCGUAGAUUUCCGAAUGGGGCAACCCAAUGUAUAGAGAUAUACAUUACCUAUAUAGGAGCGAACGAGGGGAAUUGAAACAUCUUAGUACCCUCAGGAAAAGAAAUCAAUAGAGAUUGCGUCAGUAGCGGCGAGCGAAAGCGCAAGAGGGCAAACCCAGUGCUUGCACUGGGGGUUGUAGGACUGCAAUGUGCAAGAGGUGAGUUUAGCAGAACAUUCUGGAAAGUAUAGCCAUAGAGGGUGAUAGUCCCGUAUGCGAAAAACAAACCUUAGCUAGCAGUAUCCUGAGUAGGGCGGGACACGAGAAAUCCUGUCUGAAGCUGGGUCGACCACGAUCCAACCCUAAAUACUAAUACCAGAUCGAUAGUGCACAAGUACCGUGAGGGAAAGGUGAAAAGAACUGAGGUGAUCAGAGUGAAAUAGAACCUGAAACCAUUUGCUUACAAUCAUUCAGAGCCCUAUGUAGCAAUACAGGGUGAUGGACUGCCUUUUGCAUAAUGAGCCUGCGAGUUGUGGUGUCUGGCAAGGUUAAGCAAACGCGAAGCCGUAGCGAAAGCGAGUCUGAAUAGGGCGCUUAGUCAGAUGCUGCAGACCCGAAACGAAGUGAUCUAUCCAUGAGCAAGUUGAAGCUAGUGUAAGAACUAGUGGAGGACUGAACCCAUAGGCGUUGAAAAGCCCCGGGAUGACUUGUGGAUAGGGGUGAAAGGCCAAUCAAACUUCGUGAUAGCUGGUUCUCUCCGAAAUAUAUUUAGGUAUAGCGUUGUGUCGUAAUAUAAGGGGGUAGAGCACUGAAUGGGCUAGGGCAUACACCAAUGUACCAAACCCUAUCAAACUCCGAAUACCUUAUAUGUAAUCACAGCAGUCAGGCGGCGAGUGAUAAAAUCCGUCGUCAAGAGGGAAACAACCCAGACUACCAGCUAAGGUCCCUAAAUCUUACUUAAGUGGAAAACGAUGUGAAGUUACUUAAACAACCAGGAGGUUGGCUUAGAAGCAGCCAUCCUUUAAAGAAAGCGUAAUAGCUCACUGGUCUAGUGAUUUUGCGCGGAAAAUAUAACGGGGCUAAAGUAAGUACCGAAGCUGUAGACUUGAUUUUAUCAAGUGGUAGGAGAGCGUUCUAUUUGCGCCGAAGGUAUACCGGUAAGGAGUGCUGGAGCGAAUAGAAGUGAGCAUGCAGGCAUGAGUAGCGAUAAUUAAUGUGAGAAUCAUUAACGCCGUAAACCCAAGGUUUCCUACGCGAUGCUCGUCAUCGUAGGGUUAGUCGGGUCCUAAGUCGAGUCCGAAAGGGGUAGACGAUGGCAAAUUGGUUAAUAUUCCAAUACCAACAUUAGUGUGCGAUGGAAGGACGCUUAGGGCUAAGGGGGCUAGCGGAUGGAAGUGCUAGUCUAAGGUCGUAGGAGGUUAUACAGGCAAAUCCGUAUAACAAUACUCCGAGAACUGAAAGGCUUUUUGAAGUCUUCGGAUGGAUAGAAGAACCCCUGAUGCCGUCGAGCCAAGAAAAGUUUCUAAGUUUAGCUAAUGUUGCCCGUACCGUAAACCGACACAGGUGGGUGGGAUGAGUAUUCUAAGGCGCGUGGAAGAACUCUCUUUAAGGAACUCUGCAAAAUAGCACCGUAUCUUCGGUAUAAGGUGUGGUUCGCUUCGUAUUAGGAUUUACUCCGAAAGCGAAGAAACUUACAACAAAGAGUCCCUCCCGACUGUUUACCAAAAACACAGCACUCUGCUAACUCGUAAGAGGAUGUAUAGGGUGUGACGCCUGCCCGGUGCUCGAAGGUUAAUUGAUGGGGUUAGCAUUAGCGAAGCUCUUGAUCGAAGCCCGAGUAAACGGCGGCCGUAACUAUAACGGUCCUAAGGUAGCGAAAUUCCUUGUCGGUUAAAUACCGACCUGCAUGAAUGGCGUAACGAGAUGGGAGCUGUCUCAAAGAGGGAUCCAGUGAAAUUGUAGUGGAGGUGAAAAUUCCUCCUACCCGCGGCAAGACGGAGAGACCCCGUGGACCUUUACUACAGCUUGACACUGCUAUUUGGAUAAGAAUGUGCAGGAUAGGUGGGAGGCUUUGAGUAUAUGACGCCAGUUGUAUAUGAGCCAUUGUUGAGAUACCACUCUUUCUUAUUUGGGUAGCUAACCAGCUUGAGUUAUCCUCAAGUGGGACAAUGUCUGGUGGGUAGUUUGACUGGGGCGGUCGCCUCCCAAAUAAUAACGGAGGCUUACAAAGGUUGGCUCAGAACGGUUGGAAAUCGUUCGUAGAGUAUAAAGGUAUAAGCCAGCUUAACUGCAAGACAUACAAGUCAAGCAGAGACGAAAGUCGGUCUUAGUGAUCCGGUGGUUCUGUGUGGAAGGGCCAUCGCUCAAAGGAUAAAAGGUACCCCGGGGAUAACAGGCUGAUCUCCCCCAAGAGCUCACAUCGACGGGGAGGUUUGGCACCUCGAUGUCGGCUCAUCGCAUCCUGGGGCUGGAGCAGGUCCCAAGGGUAUGGCUGUUCGCCAUUUAAAGCGGUACGCGAGCUGGGUUCAGAACGUCGUGAGACAGUUCGGUCCCUAUCUGCCGUGGGCGUAAGAAGAUUGAAGAGAUUUGACCCUAGUACGAGAGGACCGGGUUGAACAAACCACUGGUGUAGCUGUUGUUCUGCCAAGAGCAUCGCAGCGUAGCUAAGUUUGGAAAGGAUAAACGCUGAAAGCAUCUAAGCGUGAAGCCAACUCUAAGAUGAAUCUUCUCUAAGCUCUCUAGAAGACUACUAGUUUGAUAGGCUGGGUGUGUAAUGGAUGAAAGUCCUUUAGCUGACCAGUACUAAUAGAGCGUUUGGCUUAUCUUUAAUAAAGCAU